rnacentral:misc_RNA from 1 species
GAUGAAGAACGUAGCGAAAUGCGAUACUUGGUGUGAAUUGCAGAAUCCCGUGAACCAUCGAGUCUUUGAACGCAAGUUGCGCCCGAAGCCACUAGGCCGAGGGCACGCCUGCCUGGGCGUCACACGCCGUUGCCCCCCCAUCUACUCCUUCGGGAUUGCGGGGGGGCGGAUGAUGGCCUCCCGUGCGCCUAGCCGCGCGGUUGGCAUAAAUACCAAGUCCUCGGCGACGCACGCCACGACAAUCGGUGGUUGCGAAACCUCGGUUGCCCGUCGUGUGCGUUCGUCGCGCAUCGAGGGCUCGAAAAAAUGCUCGGCUCCGGCUGGGCUUUCAACGCGACCCCAGGUCAGGCGGGGUUACCCGCUGAAUUUAAGCAUAUAAUAAGCGGAGGA